UAUUUGAAAGAAAGUGGUACCGAAUAAAUAGAUGUCAUAUAGAGCAGGAAGAUGUUAGAUAACAAAUUUUUAAAAUAAUGAUUUCGUAAAUUAAAAUAUAGGAAAAGUUGUUGUUGACCAAAAAUAAUCGGUUCAGAUCACUUUAUUUCGCUGAAAGUUAAAGUUCAAAAUCUUCUACGUAGAAAUAAUGCUAUUGAGCUGAAGUUGUAGGCUUUUGAGAGGUCAAGUAUUAGUUAAUCAUAUUUGUAGUAGUUGACUAUCGUUACAGAUCGAUUACAUAUCGAUAUCGUUGAUAUUGUCAUAUAAUUGUGAUUAUCACUUAUAAACAAGUAAGGAAAGGCUAAGUUCGGGUGCAACCGAACAUUUCAUACUCUCGCAAUUUUUUGAAAAAAUUUAACCAAUACAUACAUAUAUGCGGAAUAAAGCUCACCGUAUUUUUGGAAAACCUAUAAUUAGGUAUAUGGGAGCUAGGAGAAGAUACUUUUGAAAAACAUACAAUGAGGUAUAUGGAAAUGUUAUGACCCGAUUUUAAUAAUUUUUGAAACAGAGACACACUAUUAGAAGAAAACAAUUUCCUCUGAAUUAUAUCGAGAUAUCUGAGAGAUUUACCAAUAUUUUCGGUUAAAAUGUAUCCUUAGGCGCUGAGUUCAACACGUUCGAUAUCUGGGGCCUUGAAAAGUUAUGGUCCGUUUCCGACAAUUUUUUCACAAGUGAAGCCAGAGAUGAUAUGCACUAAUUGUGUAAAUUUUUAUUCCGUUAUCUUCAUUGGUUCCUUAUGUUUACAUUAUAAAGUGAAGGAAUAAGAUGGAUUUCAAAAUUGAGUUAUAAGGAAAGUAGUAGUGGUUGUGAACCGACUUCGCCCAUUUUAUGUCCGUGUUAUCAGGGUGUCAAGAAAAUAUUAUAUACCGAAUUUCAUUCGAAUCGGUCGAGUAGUUCCUCAGAUAUGAUUUUUGACCCAUAAGUGGGCGAUGCCACGCCCAUUUUCCAUUUUGUAAAAAAAUCUGAGUACAACUCCCUUCUGCUAUUUCUUCUGCAAAAUUUAGUGUUUCUGGCGUUUUUCGUUAGUAAGUUAACCCACUUUUAGUAAUUUUCAACCUAACCUUUGUAUGGGAGGUGGGCGUGGUUAUUAUCCGAUUUAAACUAUUUUCAUGAUGUGUGGUGGGGUAUGUAAGGGACCCGACUGCAGAAAGUUUGGUUUAUAUAGCUUUAUUAGUUUGCGAGUUAAACACAAAUAACCGAUUUGCGGGCGGGGCCACGCCCACUUCCCCAAAAAAAAUUACAUCCAAAUAUGGCCCCUCCUAGUGCGAUCCUUUAUUCCAAAUUUUACUUUUAUAUCUUCAUUUAUGGCUUAGUUAUGACACUUUAUGUGUUUUUGGUUUUCGCCAUUUUGUGGGCGUGGCAAUGGUCCGAUUCUGAUUUUCGAACUUGAUCUUCUUAUGGUGCCAAGGAAUAUUUGUGUCAAGUUUCGUCAAGGUAUCUUAAUUUUUACUCAAGUUACAGCUUGCACAGACGGACAGACGGACAGACAUCCGGAUUUCAAAUCUACUAGUCAUCCUGAUCACUUUGGUAUAUAUGACUCUAUAUCUAAUUCUUUUAGUUUUGGGUGUUACAAACAACCGUUAUGUGAACAAAACUAUAAUAUUCUCGUAGCAACUUUUGUUGCGAGAGUAUAAAAAGAAUAUUUACACACCCAAAACUAAACGAGUUAGAUAUAGGGUUAUAUAUACCAAAGUGAUCAGGGUGAAGAGUGGAGUUCAAAUCCGAAUGUCUGUCUGUCCGUCCGUCCGUCAGUCCGUCCGUCUGUGCAAGCUGUAACUUGAGUAAAAAUUAAGAUAUCUUGAUGAAACUUGGCACACUUAUUUCUUGGCAACAUAGGAAGGUUGCUUUCGAAAAUGAGCAAAAUCGGACCACUGCCACGCCCACAAAAUGGCGAAAACCGAAAACACAUAAAGUGUCAUAACUAAGCCAUAAAUAAAGCUAGGGAAAUAAAAUUUGGUAUGAAGGAUCGCACUAUGAAGGGGCAUAUUUGGAUGUAAUUUUUUUGGGGAAGUGGGCGUGGCGUAAUGCAGUCCAAAAAUGAAAGAAAUCGGAUCAAAAGCACGCCCACCACCCAUACAAAAGUUAGGUUGAAAAUUACUAAAAGUAGGUUAACUCAUUAACGAAAAACGUCAGAAACACUAAAUUUCACAUAAGAAAUGGCAGAUAAAAGCUGCGCUCAGAUUUUUUUACAAAAUGGAAAAUGGGCGUGGCGUCGCCUACUUAUGGGUCAAAAACCAUAUCUCAGGAACUACUCGACCGAUUUCAAUGAAACUUGGUUUGUAAUAGUUUCCUUACAUCCCAAUGAUAUGUUGUAAAAAUAGGCCAAAGCUUCACAACCACGCCUACUUCCUAUAUACCAGAACUCUGAAGACGAUCUGAAUAGUUUACUUUAAAAUAUAUAAAGUAAGCACUAGUGAAGAUAUCGGUGCAGGACUUUGCACAAAUACUAUGUUAAUAGUGUGGCAGCCCAAUUUCAAAUAUCGCCGAAAUCGGACCAUAGGUAUUUAAGGCCCAAUAUAUCGAACACGAAGACCUCGGUGCUUCUAACCUAAUUUUAGGGUUUCCAAUUUUCAAUGGACUUUGUACAAUAUAUUUGACGAAUAUGUGGGUCAAAUUGUGUAUUUCCCAUUUGCACAGGUGCAAGGAGCCUGGUCGUUAUGUGGACAAUCUGCCCGCCACCGAUGUCAUCAUCUGUUUCCACAACGAGGCGUGGUCGGUGCUGUUGCGUACAGUGCACUCUGUGUUGCAUCGCUUGCCGUCGCAUUUGAUUAACGAAAUUAUACUCGUCGACGAUUUCUGCGAUAUGCCACAUACCAAACAACAGCUGGAAGAUUACUUCAGCGCCUACCCGAAGGUAAAGAUACUGCGUGCCCCCAGCCGUGAGGGCCUGAUACGAGCGCGUCUGCUUGGUGCGCGCUAUGCCAAAGCGCCGGUGAUAACGUACUUGGACUCGCACUGCGAGUGCACAGAAGCACCACUGUGGUUUGUCCGGUCAUCGAUUUCAUUGAUCAUACAACAUUGAAUUUACAAUUUAAUUGGCAUGCAGUGCCGGAACGUAAACGCAAGCGACACAAGACAACACUUGAACCUAAUGUGCGAAAGGUAUCACAACGAAGCUUAAUUUAGCUCUGAUACACCUGAUUACAAUAUGGAGAAAAUGACGAUCAUUUCCAUUGAUUUGGUGUGGCCGGACGCCUGUUCAUCGAAUUGAGAAAUAUUCUAUAUGAUGAUACCAAGCCGAUUUUUCGCGCUCCUGACGAGAAGGAUGAGAUGCAGCUUUAUAUCGAAAUCGGUUUUUUGGAUAGCAAGCUUGAAGGUAUGUAUUGAAUAUAUAAUUUUUCAGGAUUGACUAGAACUUGAGGAUGCGGAUUCCGGUGACUUUGAUCCCUACUCUGUCUCUGGCAAAGAAUACACAUUUUGUACUAUUCUACUACAGGAAUCGCUGCAUAAAAUGCAGUUAUCUUCGGUGAAUUUAAGUAUCAAAAUUAUUAAUUUUUAUUAUUAUAUUAUGAUUAUCAUUUACUAAUAUGCAAUCGAUUAUGAAUAAUAUAAAUAUAAAAUUUAAAUAAAGAACUAAACGAUCUUAAAAAACAACUAAACCAAUCUUUAAUUAACAAAAUUGAGAUGGAAAUGGUAAGACAAUUGCAUAACUCACAUAAAAUUGUCAAUUUAGUGAAAACUGUAAAACAUAACGGCACUUUCUCUGAAUGAACGGCUCACGCAAUAAAAACGCACUACUAACAACAAGCAAUUAUACGACAACAAAUAUUAUACAUUUUUGAACUCACAGUAAUAACCGAGUGCCGCAGCAUUCCGCCAUAAAUAUAACAAAAUAUAUAUAUAUAUAUAUAAUAUUGAACUUUUCUAGUGAUCUAAUAGCUAUAUAUGGCCGUUACAAAGAAAGCAGCACUUCUAAGAUUUACAAAAAGCGUUCUUUCUAGUUAUUGUUUUUGUCGUGUCAACACGCCCUUUGUUCUAUUUUCUGUUCCCACUACUCUCAAAUAUAGCUAAACAGCAGUCGAUCUAGCUGUCGCCUUGACGCUCAUUUGGGGCAACAUUGUUCUCUGCGUUGCAGUCAUUGUUGCCGCAAGGAUGCUGCG